UUUAAAUCAGCAACACCAUUAAACAACAGGCAUUUUGUUUAGUUGAACCCAUGCAACAACAAGAAUGCCCUCCACACUAAUAUUGACACAAUAAUGAGCCAAGCAUCAGUUUUAAAAAGCUCGGUUUUAGAGACUUCAGUGAUAAUAAUAUCUCAGAAGCAUCUCCUCGUUAACAUCAAAUGCUCGGCCUCCCAUUACAAUAAAGAAACUCAGGUCAUACACAAACAUCAUCAUGCUGCAUCAACUCACUAAAUUUCCAUAUAUCUAUUGCGAUGAUAUGCUAAGCAUCAGUUUUAAAAAGCUCGAUUUUUUAGACAUCAGAGACCCCAGAGGAUCUCAGUCUAUGUAAUUGUUAACAUCACCUGCAGCACGUCAUCGCAACUGACAAGCUCUAGAAGCAUCUCCUCGUUAACAUCAAAUGCUCGGCCUCCCAUUACAAUAAAGAAACUCAGGUCAUACACAAACAUCAUCAUGCUGCAUCAACUCACUAAAUUUCCAUAUAUCUAUU
rnacentral:lncRNA from 1 species